UACGGGAGGGGGCUAGUCGUUGUUCGGAAUUACUGGGCGUAAAGCGCGCGUAGGCGGCUUUGUAAGUUAGAGGUGAAAGCCCGGAGCUCAACUCCGGAAUUGCCUUUAAGACUGCGAUCGCUAGAAUCAUGGAGAGGUUAGUGGAAUUCCGAGUGUAGAGGUGAAAUUCGUAGAUAUUCGGAAGAACACCAGUGGCGAAGGCGACUAACUGGACAUGUAUUGACGCUGAGGUGCGAAAGCGUGGGGAGCAAACAGG
rnacentral:rRNA from 1 species